CAACACAGAGUUUGGGCGAGGUUGACGUUCUGCCAUACUUCCGGUCACGUGGGGCGAACGGAAGCGGUGUUUGUCACGUGGCCCUUUCUGGGCUCGUUUUAACUGGGGAGAAUGCAGUUCCUCCUUCCGUUCCUUUCGCGUGUGCGCGAGAGGCAGCUGGAGAGCGGUCAGCGGCCCACGAGGUAAUGAGGAUAGAGUCAGCAGUUAGUAUUUGUUUCUGAUGGUAUUGCAAGUUUCCUGUCUCGACUCUGCUAUGCUACUCCUUUGUAACCAGCAAGAUGUCACGUGAACUGUUAAAGAAAUAAGGCUAUGAGCAUUGGCCUCAGAUUUUGUUGCUCUGUCCAGAAAUCCCUAUAUUGUGAGAUGGGCUUUCAAAUGCUGCUUACCUGAAGCCUGCCAGCUCUCACCUGAACUGCUGAGUGGGAAAUACCUUCAUUAUGUGAUUUGCUGAGCUCAGACACAUUCAGAAAUGCCAUUUUCCUGACUUUGUUCUGCUCUUUGCAGCCAACAAGAUGUUGGUUGAAUUCUCUUAAGAACAAGAAUUUACAUCAACCGUGGUGUUAAAUAUAUGUUGUCUAAUGUGCAGUUAACUUGCAGCUACCAAGAAGUCAUACAGUUUUCAAGUUCUCAUUCCUUCUGAGUUUGAAACUGAUUCCUUUCACCACAUCUUCUCGGGCAUGUUGUGGGAGGCAGCCCUGUGAACCAGGGAAAAGAUGAGUGUGUUCUGUCUUCCUGCACCAAAGAAUCUGCGGGAGUAUAGGCAUGUACAGUACAUACAGUAUCCAGGUCCACAGAUUCUUCAUUGGAUUUUCAUGUCCCCUGCAAACUUAAGGAGGCGGAACCAGACCAGUCAGUCAUCACGGACCUGGAGUUAAGCUCUGCACCAGAAGUGCC